rnacentral:rRNA from 1 species
UACAGGGGGUGCAAGCGUUACUCGGAAUUACUGGGCGUAAAGAGCGUGUAGGCGGUUUACCAAGUCUGAUGUGAAAGCCCCAGGCUCAAUCUGGGAAGUGCAUCGGAUACUGGUAGACUAGAGUGUGGGAGAGGUGAGCGGAAUUCCUGGUGUAGAGGUGAAAUUCGUAGAUAUCAGGAGGAACAACAGUGGCGAAGGCGGCUCACUGGACCAUUACUGACGCUAAGGCGCGAAAGCGUGGGGAGCAAACAGG